rnacentral:rRNA from 1 species
AGAGUUUGAUCCUGGCUCAGGAUGAACGCUGGCGGCGUGCUUAACACAUGCGAGUCGAACGCACCUUCGGGUGAGUGGCGGACGGGUGAGUAACGCGUGAGGAUCUGCCCUCAGGAGGGGGAUAACGGCUGGAAACGGCCGCUAAUACCCCAUAUGCCGCGAGGUGAAACGAGUUUUCGCCUGAGGAUGAGCUCGCGUCUGAUUAGCUAGUUGGUGGGGUAAGAGCCUACCAAGGCAUCGAUCAGUAGCUGGUCUGAGAGGAUGAUCAGCCACACUGGGACUGAGACACGGCCCAGACUCCUACGGGAGGCAGCAGUGGGGAAUUUUCCGCAAUGGGCGAAAGCCUGACGGAGCAACGCCGCGUGAGGGAUGAAGGCCUCUGGGCUGUAAACCUCUUUUCUCAAGGAAGAUGAUCUGACGGUACUUGAGGAAUAAGCCACGGCUAAUUCCGUGCCAGCAGCCGCGGUAAUACGGGAGUGGCAAGCGUUAUCCGGAAUUAUUGGGCGUAAAGCGUCCGCAGGCGGUCUUGAAAGUCUGUUGUUAAAGCGUGGAGCUUAACUCCAUUUCAGCAAUGGAAACUAGAAGACUAGAGUGUGGUAGGGGCAGAGGGAAUUCCCGGUGUAGCGGUGAAAUGCGUAGAUAUCGGGAAGAACACCAGUGGCGAAGGCGCUCUGCUGGGCCAUAACUGACGCUCAUGGACGAAAGCCAGGGGAGCGAAAGGGAUUAGAUACCCCUGUAGUCCUGGCCGUAAACGAUGAACACUAGGUGUCGGGGGAAUCGACCCCCUCGGUGUCGUAGUCAACGCGUUAAGUGUUCCGCCUGGGGAGUACGCACGCAAGUGUGAAACUCAAAGGAAUUGACGGGGGCCCGCACAAGCGGUGGAGUAUGUGGUUUAAUUCGAUGCAACGCGAAGAACCUUACCAGGGUUUGACAUCCUGCGAAUCCCUUGGAAACGAGGGAGUGCCUUCGGGAGCGCAGAGACAGGUGGUGCACGGCUGUCGUCAGCUCGUGUCGUGAGAUGUUGGGUUAAGUCCCGCAACGAGCGCAACCCACGUCUUUAGUUGCCAGCAUUCAGUUGGGCACUCUAGAGAGACCGCCGGUGAUAAACCGGAGGAAGGUGUGGAUGACGUCAAGUCAUCAUGCCCCUUACAUCCAGGGCUACACACGUACUACAAUGCUACGGACAAAGGGCGGCAAACUCGCGAGAGCUAGCAAAUCCCAUAAACCGUGGCUCAGUUCAGAUCGUAGGCUGCAACUCGCCUACGUGAAGGAGGAAUCGCUAGUAAUCGCAGGUCAGCAUACUGCGGUGAAUACGUUCCCGGGCCUUGUACACACCGCCCGUCACACCAUGGAAGUUGGCCACGCCCGAAGUCGAUACUCCAACCCUUAU